AUCAUUCCAGGCAGUCAGGCAGGGGAAUUAGCAUGGAUUGAGUAUGUGCGGGAAGGCGAACCCUGUUCUCUAUGCUUCGUCCUUACAGGAAAGACAGUCCUUUAACGGACCCUGAAGGGAAGGAAGAAGGAAAAAAUGUUAUUCAACUUACUCAGCACGCCAAGGCGUUCAUAUUGGGUUUAGUCCCCUGACUAACAAAGGAAUUCGUAAUUAUGUCAAGCUUACACCUGGGCCCCUGUCUUCAGCUUUCCAAUUACGCGAUGAUGGAUGGUCACGAAAUGAUGUUCCGUGUGAGGUUCCCAUAAAGGGGACGAAGAGAAUGAGGAGCAUGAAGCGGUUUCUCACUGCAUUCUUACCGUCGGCAUCUGCUGCUUUGAUUUUGCCAGAGCAGAGCAUGGGGAUGGGAAGAGGCAGAAGCCGUGACGCGAGGAGAUCCCGUAAACGAGUCCCAGCGGAGGCCGGCGUCAGGGGAAUUCGUCUGGCUGCUUUUGGUUUCCAGCCAUGUAACUUGAAGUGGAGUCAGUCAGCGAAAGAGUGGCGUUAUCCCAUGAGCUUUUACCUCUUCGCCAUUCCGGGUCAGACUGAGUCUGCCUUUAAGACUCAGGUAAACCUCUCAUUUAUUCUGAAUCAAUAAAUAGAGCUGCCAUAAGUUAGAAA